rnacentral:rRNA from 1 species
GACGAACGCUGGCGGCGUGCUUAACACAUGCAAGUCGAACGGUGAAGCGAGUGCUUGCACUCGUGGAUCAGUGGCGAACGGGUGAGUAACACGUGAGUAACCUGCCCAUCACUCUGGGAUAAGCACUGGAAACGGUGUCUAAUACUGGAUACGACCAACCCUUGCAUGGGGUGUUGGUGGAAAGAUUUAUCGGUGAUGGAUGGACUCGCGGCCUAUCAGCUUGUUGGCGGGGUAAUGGCGCACCAAGGCGACGACGGGUAGCCGGCCUGAGAGGGUGACCGGCCACACUGGGACUGAGACACGGCCCAGACUCCUACGGGAGGCAGCAGUGGGGAAUAUUGCACAAUGGGCGAAAGCCUGAUGCAGCGACGCCGCGUGAGGGAUGACGGCCUUCGGGUUGUAAACCUCUUUCAGCAGGGAAGAAGCGAAAGUGACGGUACCUGCAGAAGAAGCACCGGCUAACUACGUG